rnacentral:rRNA from 1 species
UACGAAGGGGGCUAGCGUUGCUCGGAAUCACUGGGCGUAAAGCGCACGUAGGCGGCUUUCUAAGUCAGGGGUGAAAUCCUGGAGCUCAACUCCAGAACUGCCUUUGAUACUGGAGAGCUUGAGUCCGGGAGAGGUGAGUGGAACUCCGAGUGUAGAGGUGAAAUUCGUAGAUAUUCGGAAGAACACCAGUGGCGAAGGCGGCUCACUGGCCCGGUACUGACGCUGAGGUGUGAAAGCGUGGGGAGCAAACAGG